UACGGAGGGUGCAAGCGUUGCUCGGAAUUAUUGGGCGUAAAGGGUAGGUAGGUGGUCUCAUUUGUCUGAGGUGAAAGCCUUGAGCUUAACUCAAGAAGUGCCUCAGAAACGGUGAGACUGGAGUCCUGGAGAGGGUCGUGGAAUUCCCGGUGUAGCGGUGAAAUGCGUAGAGAUCGGGAGGAACACCAGAGGCGAAAGCGGCGACCUGGACAGGUACUGACACUCAACUACGAAAGCGUGGGGAGCAAACAGG
rnacentral:rRNA from 1 species